rnacentral:rRNA from 1 species
GAGUUUGAUCCUGGCUCAGGACGAACGCUGGCGGCGUGCCUAACACAUGCAAGUCGAACGGAGAUAUUCAGCAAUGGAUGUCUUAGUGGCGAACGGGUGAGUAACGCGUAGACAACCUGCCUUCUAGAUGGGGACAACGUUCCGAAAGGGACGCUAAUACCGAAUGUGCUAGUUCUUCCGCAUGGAAGAACUAAGAAAGGUGGCCUCUAUAUAUAAGCUACCGCUAGAAGAUGGGUCUGCGUCUGAUUAGCUAGUUGGAGAGGUAACGGCUCACCAAGGCGAUGAUCAGUAGCCGGUCUGAGAGGAUGAACGGCCACACUGGGACUGAGACACGGCCCAGACUCCUACGGGAGGCAGCAGUGGGGAAUCUUCCGCAAUGGACGAAAGUCUGACGGAGCAACGCCGCGUGAGUGAAGAAGGUUUUCGGAUCGUAAAGCUCUGUCUUCAAGGACGAAUGUGCUUAUUGUGAAUAAUGAUAAGUAAUGACGGUACUUGAGGAGGAAGCCACGGCUAACUACGUGCCAGCAGCCGCGGUAAUACGUAGGUGGCAAGCGUUGUCCGGAAUGAUUGGGCGUAAAGGGCGCGUAGGCGGGAAUGUAAGUCUGUCUUAAAAGUUCGGGGCUCAACCCCGUGAUGGGAUGGAAACUACAUUUCUUGAGUGCAGGAGAGGACAGUGGAAUUCCCAGUGUAGCGGUGAAAUGCGUAGAUAUUGGGAGGAACACCAGUGGCGAAGGCGACUGUCUGGACUGUGUCUGACGCUGAGGCGCGAAAGCCAGGGGAGUGAACGGGAUUAGAUAUCCCGGUAAUCCUGGCCGUAAACGAUGGGUACUAGGUGUAGGAGGUAUCGACCCCUUCUGUGCCGGAGUUAACGCAAUAAGUACCCCGC